ACAAGAUUUAACAUUAGCCCGGUAACAUGGUCUUUUUGACUUUUUCCAACAUAUCCUCUCAUAUUUAUUUGUUUAUAUUCUGUAGGGAUUCAAUGACUUGACUGUUAUGUACUUCCAGUAGGUGGCGAUGGAGCUCAAGAAAUGCUGAUAUCUAAACAUGCAGUAGGUACUUCAAUGAGGGGGGUGUCAAUAAAAGUGUCCAUGGGGAAAAUGUUAGAGUCACUUCGUGUGCUGCUUUCAGACAGAAGCUCAUCAUGCUGACAUUAUUUAUUUUGCUUUGGCUCACUGGUCUUUGUCUGGGUGUUGAAGUUCACCAAACACCUUCAGAAGUUUUCAGGACACCUGGAGAAAAUGUCCAGCUGGUCUGCAGCCAUGGAAAGACCGACUACACAUUCAUGCAGUGGUACCAGAAAUCCCCUGGAGACCAAGCCCUAAAGCGCAUUGGACAUUUAAACUACAACAACAAAGAGCAUGAGAAAUCAUUUGAGAAACAUUUUAAUAUUACAGGAGACUUGAGUGGAAGUCAACCAAAGAAUGCAUCUAUGUUUAUAGUGGACCUAAAGCCUGAGCACAGUGCAGUGUAUUACUGUGCAGCAAGCUAUGCACACUGAGUGGAAAACACCUUUCUUUAAUACAAAAACUCAGAACCAUGAAAUCAUCAAAGUGGAUGGUUUUAAACUGAACAGACUCCUCCCACCUCUUGGUUAGAUCCCAGCUGACUACAGGGUGAUGCUCUGAUCCCAACAGCUGCAGGGAGACAGCUAUGAAACUCACUGGGUGCUAGUCUGGGGAUUGAGGUUCGUCAGUCUUCCUCUGAUAUCAUCGCAAAGGCUAGUGACAAAGUUCAGAUUUUCUGCAGUCAUGAUAAAACUGACUACAGAAUGAUGUUCUGGUACAAGCAGUCGCCUGGAGACACGGCUAUGAAACUCAUUGGGUUUUUAAACUAUGCAGCUGUCACAGUUGAAGAACAAUAUAGAGAUCAUUUCAAUAUCACUGGAAAUCUUGGGGGCGAUUCUGCAAAGAAUGGCUCACUAACUAUCCAAGUCAAAGGACAAGAGCACAGUGCAGUGUACUACUGUGCAGCAAGCAAAGCACAAUGACAGAAAGCUCCUCUGAACUUUACAAAAACUCCACAUAAUUUUUAUCAUUG
ensembl:lncRNA